rnacentral:lncRNA from 1 species
UAAUAUAUGAAAUAUUAGUGUUAAGUAAGUCCCAGAGUUCAGUUUAUUGGACAUCAGCUACAUUUAAUAAGAAGAUAUGAGAUCCAAAUAUAUGCUUAUGUCAACACAUGUUCAUUUUGAUGAAGUUUACUGAACAAAUUUGAAUCAUCACAACAACCAAAAUGUUAGCAACACAUCAUAAAGUUUAUUAUUCUAACUAUGGUAACCAUGUUGUCCAGAAUCGUGACAUCGCACCCAUUUAGAAUCUUACCACCACUUUGAGCCUUUGAUCCUUAAACCCAUAAAUAGGGGUGAGAAGCAACAACUUUUAGUCUGUUAUUUGCAGCAUUUAUGUUCGCAGCCUUCGACUGUUCGUGACACAGAUUUAGAGUCUUACCACCAACGUGAUCAUUUGAUCCUAAAACCGACAAAUAACGGUGAAAAACAACGACAUUUAGUCCAUUACUGGCAGCAUUUCUGUUUGCAGCCCUCAACUGUUCGCCAGAGAAGCAUUUGGAUCCUGACUACAGACUCCAACAUGUCUCAAGGUGAAGAACCAAAAAGUCAAGAAGUUGACCCCGGCGCUCUUCCCUGGGAUGAACCAGAAGACCCUUACCUCUCCUCUCUUCCCUGGGCUGAGCAAGUUGAAUUAGAGGAGAAGGGCUUAGCAGAAAUGGAGAAUGAAAAUCUUCUUAACAGAGAGAAGAUUGUCUUAUUGAUGGAGGAAAAUGAGAGACAGAGCGCUCAAUUAAAAAAAAUGUCCUACCUGCUCCAAGAAAAGGAGAGUAUUAUUGAUGAAAAACAGUGGGAUAUCAAAGACAUGGAGGAAAGGAACCAAGAGCUCCAAGGAAAGCUGGAUGAAGCUCUAGAAAAAAUUAAAGAAAUCCUCCAGGAGAAGAAACAACAGGACAUGAGAGAAAGACAGAUGCACGAUCAGCUUGAAAAGAUGGAGAUAAAAUACAGAGUGGUAAAAGCAAGGGAUGAUAAAAAUCAGGAAACAAAUAAAGAGGUUCUUCAAGAGAAAAGGCAGCAGCAGAUCAAACAAAAGCGAAUGGGCCGCGAGCUUAAGGACAUCAAGAAACAAAAUGACGAGCUGCAAGUAAAGCUUGAUGAAGCUCUGCAAAUAAAUGAAGCAAUCCUCGAAGAGAAAAACCAACAGGACAUAAAGAAGCGAGACAUGGAGAGGCAACUCCAACACAUGGAGGGAAAAGACAGGAUGCUGCAGGCAAGGCUUAAAGAAACAAUGCACAAAUAUGACGAGUUGCUGCAAGAGAAAAAGCAACAGGAGAAAAACCAACAGGACAUAAAGAAGCGAGACAUGGAGAGGCAACUCCAACACAUGGAGGGAAAAGACAGGAUGCUGCAGGCAAGGCUUAAAGAAACAAUGCACAAAUAUGACGAGUUGCUGCAAG